CCUACGGGAGGCAGCAGUGGGGAAUUUUGCGCAAUGGGGGCAACCCUGACGCAGCAACGCCGCGUGAGUGAUGAAGGCCUUCGGGUCGUAAAGCUCUGUCAGAGGGGAGGAAAUGCAGGUGGUGAACAACCAUUCUGUUUGACGGUACCCUCAAAGGAAGCACCGGCUAACUCCGUGCCAGCAGCCGCGGUAAUACGGAGGGUGCGAGCGUUGUUCGGAAUUAUUGGGCGUAAAGCGCGUGUAGGCGGUUUGUUAAGUAUGAGGUAAAAGCCCCGGGCUCAACCGGGGAAGUGCAUUGGAUACUGGCAGACUGGAGUACGGGAGAGGAGAGUGGAAUUCCCAGUGUAGGAGUGAAAUCCGUAGAUAUUGGGAGGAACACCGGUGCCGAGGGCGGCUCUCUGGACAGAAACUGACGCGGAGACGCGAAAGCGUGGGGAGCAAACAGGAUUAGAUACCCUAGUAGU
rnacentral:rRNA from 1 species